AUGGCAGCGUCGGUCUCCGCGGCGAGCUGCGAGGAGGGGGCGGGCGACGACGAGGAGUGCCGCGACGAGGCUGCCGCGCUAAGGCUCAAGAUGGUGGCCGUCGCCGCCAUCCUCAUCGCCGGCGCGGUCGGCGUCGCCAUCCCGCUCGUCGGCCGGAGGCGGCGCGGCGGCGGCGGCGGCGGCGAGGGCGGGUCCUCCGGCGGCGGGACGUUCGUGCUCGCCAAGGCGUUCGCGGCGGGGGUCAUCCUCGCCACGGGGUUCGUGCACAUGAUGCACGACGCCGAGGAGAAGUUCGCCGACCCGUGCCUCCCGGCCAUGCCGUGGCGCCGGUUCCCCUUCCCGGGCUUCAUCGCCAUGCUCGCCGCGCUGGGCACGCUCGUCAUGGAGUUCGUCGGCACCCGCUUCUACGAGCGCAGGCACGGCGAGGAGGCCGCUGCCGCCGCGGCCACAGCCGCGCGUGACGACACCACGGCGCUGCUCGAGGACGGCGCGCUCGCAGGGAUGGCUGCCGCCGCGAUGAGCAGCGACGACGAGAAGCAGGACGCCAUGCACAUCGUGGGCAUGCGCGCGCACGCGGCGGCGCACCAGCACAGCCAUGCGCAUGGCCAUGACGCGUGCGAUGGUGGAGCCGUGUACGACGCCCAUGCACACGCCCACGCCCAGGGCCAUGGGCAUGGCAGCGAGGAGAGGCCGUCCCAAGCUCAUCAUGUGGUUGUCUCGCAGAUUCUGGAGAUGGGGAUUGUAUCUCAUUCGGUGAUCAUCGGGCUAUCCUUGGGCGUUUCGCAAAGCCCAUGUACCAUUAAACCUCUUGUUGCCGCCCUCUCCUUCCACCAGUUCUUCGAGGGUUUUGCCUUGGGUGGCUGCAUUUCUGAGGUUAAUAUCCACUUCAUUUUUGCUCCACUUCAUUUUUGCUCUAUGGUUAACAGUUCCUCACUCGAAGUUAGCACUCAUGUCCCCUUCAUGUUAAUUGCAUCAAUUCAACACACUCUGUAUGAACAAAUGCAGGCGCAGUUCAAGAAUUUCUCUGCACUCCUGAUGGCUUUCUUCUUUGCUAUCACAACACCUGCUGGGAUCACCGUGGGGGCGGGGAUCGCGUCGUUCUACAACGCCAACAGCCCCAGGGCAUUGGUGGUGGAAGGCAUUCUGGAUUCAAUGUCAUCUGGUAUACUGAUCUAUAUGGCAUUAGUGGAUCUCAUUGCUGCUGAUUUCCUGAGCCGGAGGAUGAGCUGCAAUCCGAGGCUGCAAGUGUGCUCAUACGUUGCCUUGUUUGUCGGGGCUAUUGCCAUGUCAUCACUGGCUAUCUGGGCUUAG
rnacentral:rRNA from 1 species